rnacentral:lncRNA from 1 species
UCCUUUCAAACUUGGAACGAGAUGUGUUAACAAAAGAUAACAUACUAUAAAAAUAAAAUUUUGAAUAGAUUAUUCCCUUAAAAAAAUCCAAACGUUUCCAAACUAUCCGUAAUCCAAAUUUGAAAAAAGUAGAAAACAAACUGGCAUAUUUUAUUUGCAGUAUAAGGACUUUUUCUAAUUUCGACUUAUCACUGCACGAUAAAAUUUACCUAUUAUAGAAAGCUGGCUUGUGCAUAUAGGCAAAUGCUAAAGGCGCGUGACUCCUACGGGCGCAGAAAUUGGGGAGGAAAGAAAAUCCACUAUUCUAAAAAGUGGUUGGUUUUAUUAUGUAAGAAGAAGUUUUUUCCCCUUCAACAAUUUUACUCGCACGCUUAGCUUGUUUUUUACUUCUUUUUAUAUAUACGUAUAUAUAGGCAAGGAAUACUAAAACUAUUGGAAAGGAAACAAAAAUAUCGCACUCACACAAGAAGGCUGACUCUCUCUUUUCCUGUAACUACAAAAAGGAGAAAUGACUAGGAAACAAAAAUAUUGCGCUCACACAACUGUGGAUAUAGGCAUCACAGGUUUAUAAAAAGAGAAGAAUUCAGUUUUUUGCACUAGCUAGAAUCAUUUUUUUAAAAUUUUACAGGCUGAUAUCUUAAAUUGAUUUAUGUAACAUGCUCACUAUUUUUUCAAAAGGUCAUUUCUUUUGUUGUAAGUCAUAAAACCGUUUUAUAAGUUUGGUUUGUCUUUCCGUAGAAUUUUCCAUUGGGGUAUAAAAGUAAUUGUGAUAUAUAUAAAAUAAUAUUCCUUUCUUGUGUUGAAGAUCCUCUAGAUAAAGUACUAGAUAUUAAGGGGAAAUUUCAUAUUGAUCUACUUUCAGACAUAAGGGAUUUGAUUUCCUGUAUACUCAAAUCAAGCUACUAAGGAUCUCAAUCUUAUCUUUUUUCGGCUUUCUAUAGGUGGACUUGAAGAUGUGAAUUGUGUCAAAUAAGGAAAAGAUUAAUGUGAAACUAAUAUCCUUAACAAAUUUGUUAAAUAAAAAGUUUUUCACUGCACUACAACUCGGUACAUACAAUAAAUUCAUAUUGUUAGUAUGGGAAGAAUUUCUCUGAUGUGGCCAAAGUUGGGGCGCAGAGGGGUGAUCCAGGAAGACCGCUUCGAUGAGAAUGAAAUGAACUCGCAUUGAAAUAUCGCGAGGGGGAUAAAUUGAGGUCUGAAGAUUACCUCCACACAGAUUAUGGAUGCAUAAUUUUCGAUUUACUGUAUAAUUCUCAACAGAUAAUGCCACAAAGAGUCCUCAUGAUGGGAUUAUACUGAUUAAACAGGAACUCCGCUGUUAAGUUUACCACUGGGAUGAGGGCAACACUGUAUUUACUCGAGGCUGACUUGAUCAUGAAGUCAUCAGCAAAGCAACUUCCCCUUAUUGCUCUCUCACGUGCGUCAUCAUCAUACCGAAGAAAACGUGCCUUUUUUCAUGCGUUUCUAGCAACGGAGGUACUGAUGCAUUGAAUUAUGAUUUGGAAAAUAAAAGUAUAUCUUGCCGUUUUUGCGAUUUCUCGUACAUAUCUCGUUCUUUAUGGAAUGUAAUCCGCCACUCCAAAACCUCCCAUCACAACAAAAGCUUAAAAGUCGUCAAGAAACACAAGAUUAAAGGAAAAAAAUUCUGGAGGUCGAUGGGUCGUUAACAACUUGAUUGGGGUAGUAUGCCAAGGAGUUUUGAAUAGAAUAAAAAAA